rnacentral:lncRNA from 1 species
ACAUCCAAACCCUGGCGCCCCCGGAAUUGUACAUUUCGGCCUGCGCGGUGUGCGGAGUCCGUGUGGCGUGUGCUCAGAGCGAGUGCGCGAUGUGUCUGUGGCUUGCAUGAUGAUGAGCUGCGAGUACCUGGCAGCUGUGAAUCUGGGUGCGGGCUGGGUCUAGGGACUGCGGGUGCCUGCGUGGAGUUUUCCCUGGGCCGGGAACUCCCUCUCCCACGCUCCGUUUCGCCCCCUCUUCCUCCAAAGUUUGGCGGGCCGCCCGGACGGGGAAGGUUGGGGGGCGCACGGCUGGGCGGCCUUGCCCGGGCCUCGGAGGCGGUUCCGGGACGCCGGCGCCCUACUUACCCCGGCCGCCGAGCCUCCUCCGGCGGGGGCGGAUCCGACUGUCCGCGGCUGGGGUCCGGCGCUUGCAGCAUCCGCUCGCAACUUUGCCCUCCUCUGCGUAGAGCCCGGCAGAAGCAGCUCAGCGGCUCCGAUCCCUCGCGGCCCGGGCUCUGUGCUCCCCCGGAGGCGGCGGCGGCGGCGGCGGCGGCGGGGAGGGAGGGAGGCGCGGCCCCGCCGGUUCGCACGCCGAGCGGGAAGCGGCGCCAGGCGGGCGCCGUCCUGCGCAGCGAGCGAGCGAGCGGUCCUGCCUGGCGCCCUCCCCGCUCGGGCCCGAGCCCGCGAGCGGCCCGCGGCGGCGGCGGAUUCCUGAACCGCGUCCAAGGCGCCCGGGGAGCCCUCCUCCUCGUCCUCCUCCUCCUCCUCCUCUCCUUCCUCACCCCACCCAGCUCCCAGCCCUGCGCGCCCAGCAACUUGGGAACCGUUGGCGAAGUUGGCGCAGCUUGGGCAGCGCGCCGGCCCGGCCUCUGGCUGGAAGGAGGGGAGGAGAGGGAGGAGCUGAGGGGGGAGGGAGGGGGCCCGCCCCCGCCCCCGGGGAGCCGCGCUCUCCGGGACCCCUCUGUGGGCCUUUGUUCCGGGCACUGCACCUCGGCCCGCCCUCCCCGGGGACUCGCUGGGGGCCUCUCGGAUCCCCCACCUCCUCGCAGAGAGACUGGGAGGAGCUCCCGGCCCCGGGGUGGGUAG